UCAAAAACAUGGUUUUUUGUUUAUAUAAAAAAUCUGGCCUGCUCAAUGAAUUUUAAAUAGCUGCAGUAUUUUGACUGUACAAAGGUAGCAUAAUCACUUGUCUUUUAAUUGAGGUCUGGAAUGAAUGGUUUGAUGAAAAAAAUACUUUAUUUGUUUUUUAUGAAAAAUUUAAUUUUUAAGUUAAAAAGCUUGGAAAUUUUUUUGUAGGACGAGAAGACCCUAUAGAGCUUUAUUUAUAUAUCUUUAUGUUUUUAUAGAUUAUAUAUUUUUAAUAUAGGUAUAUAAAUUUUGUUGGGGUGAUAAAAAAAAUAAUAUAACUUUUUUUAAUUUUUACAUUAAUUAAUGUAUAUUUGAUCCUUUAUUUUGGAAAAAAAGAAUAAGCUACCUUAGGGAUAACAGCGUUAUUAUUUCGGAGAGUUCAUAUUGAUGAAAUAGUUUGCGACCUCGAUGUUGGAUUAAAAUAAGAUAUAGAAGUAGAAGGUUAUAUUCUUGGUCUGUUCGACCUUUAAAUUUUUACAUGAUCU
rnacentral:rRNA from 1 species